UACGUAGGGUGCAAGCGUUGUCCGGAAUUAUUGGGCGUAAAGAGCUCGUAGGCGGUCUGUCGCGUCUGCUGUGAAAAUCCAGGGCUCAACCCUGGACCUGCAGUGGGUACGGGCAGACUAGAGUGCGGUAGGGGAGAUCGGAAUUCCCGGUGUAGCGGUGAAAUGCGCAGAUAUCGGGAAGAACACCCGUGGCUAAGGCGGCUCUCUAGUACGGUACUGACGCUGAGACGCGAAAGCGUGGGGAGCGAACAGG
rnacentral:rRNA from 1 species